GACGAACGCUGGCGGCGUGCCUAACACAUGCAAGUCGAGCGGGGUCCAACCGGUAGCAAUACCGGUGAAGACCUAGCGGCGAACGGGUGAGUAACACGUGAGAAACCUGCCCCGAAGACCGGGAUAAGCCGAGGAAACUCGGUCUAAUACCGGAUACCCCCAUCUGACCGCAUGAUCGGAUGAGGAAAUGGUUUUUUUCGCUUUGGGAGGGUCUCGCGGCCUAUCAGUUUGUUGGUGAGGUAACGGCUCACCAAGACUAUGACGGGUAGCUGGUCUGAGAGGACGAUCAGCCACACUGGGACUGAGACACGGCCCAGACUCCUACGGGAGGCAGCAGUGGGGAAUCUUGCGCAAUGGGCGAAAGCCUGACGCAGCAACGCCGCGUGGGGGACGACGGCUUUCGGGUUGUAAACCCCUUUCAGCAGGGACGAAAAUGACGGUACCUGCAGAAGAAGCUCCGGCCAACUACGUG
rnacentral:rRNA from 1 species